UUCACCACUCAAGCUCUGCUUGGCGUUGGAGGACCCGCGUUUGCGGGCCGCCGAAAUGAAUCGGCUGUUAUACUUGCAGCUUCCCUGCGUAGUAAUUUUGUGUUACGCUUUGAAACUCUUGUACUACAUGCCGUUAAACCCAUCAAUUUUUUGAAAGGU
rnacentral:rRNA from 1 species